GCCAGCCCUAUAAUCCAAUCACCUCCCCAAGCCCCACUGACGAUGGCAUGAGGUUUUCGGGGAUGUCUGAAUUUAAACAGUAACACCAGGCCAAGGCGAGGCGGGCACUGCUGAUGAGGCCUCCCCACACCAGCGAUGCCACCGAGAAGGCCUGGGGCACCUCCCUCCUGAAACUGUCAUCCUGGUUUGCCAGGACGCAAAGGGGGGACACAAAGGGCGCUCUGGUGACUGGGGAGAGGGGUGCGGACGAGUUAGAUGUCGGGCUGAUGCUCAGAGCAGGCAGAUGGAUCCGCCUCUGCACCCUGGAGGACCGAGCAGGUGACCAUCCCAAGGGAAGGAGGUUUCAGUCACAGAGUCCUGGAAACACAAGAACAAGAGGAAGGAUUAGGGACCCUGAAUUAGGAGAUACUGUCUUGGAGAGCAGGGACACACCAGGACAAACCUUCGCAGACCUUAGGCACAGCUGUCUCUACAGCAACCAAGCCCAGCCCACACAUUCAAAGGAGAAAACAUGGCGCCCAGAAGGGAUCGGAGCUCAUUGGAAAUGAACUUCCUGGUGCCCACAGCACCUUGUGGAGGUGACUUGUAGAAGACCUGAGCUCAGACCCUGGCUGCUUUUCACUACCACCCUCAGGCCCAUGACCUCAUUUCUCCUUUCUUCCUCUGCAACGGAGAUAAAAAUGAUCUCUUCACAGAGAUGGCUGUGGGAAGUGCCGGAAAGCAAGUAUACAGAUUCAUCUUAAUUCCUCAACUUCAAUCCCAUGUGCUUAGCAAACGACAACAACAACAACAAACUGUGUAAAGAAGGGGAUGAAAAGAAAAAUGCUUGUCAAAUUAACAAAAAAAUAUAAGGCAAAACCAGAAUAGAAUAGGACUUCCUUUGGAAUUGGAAAAAUAACUUUAAAAUUCAGACAGAAUAAUAAAUAUUCAAGAAUUGACAGAAAGAGUGUUGAGAAAUUUUAUUGAGGAGAACCUUAUCAUAAGGAAUUUGAAAAUGUAGCUCUAAAAAUACUACAAUAAACAUAGGCCUCAUUUUUGCACCAAAAGACGUAAACACAUCACUGGCUCAUAAUAGAGUCCAAAACUGGGCUCAAGGUGAGACUGUAACACAAGAUAAAGGCGACACUCAGUUCAGUAGUUUAUUUACUAAAUAUGUGAUCAGCUCUACAUCUGGAGUUAAUAAACUUAGAUCUUUCCUAUACAGCGUAUACAAUAAUAAUUUCCAUAUGGAUUGAAGAUUUACUAAAACAACUAAAACUUUUAAAAGAGUAAAUAAAAUAUAGAGGAGAGAAAUGCCUUAUUAGGUAAGGUGAACAGUGCUACAAAGAAAAUUACGGACAGAGACAGAUUUAAGUUCACAAGUGUUAAUAUUAAAAAAUGACAACAUAAACAGCAUCAAAAGACAAAGACCCCCCCUGGGAGGACAGUUUAUGACAAGGAUGAUAAAUGAAUGAAUAAGGCUUCUACUAAGGCAAAGAGAUCUUAACAAUAUAAAUUGGGAAGAAAAUGAGCAAUAGCCCCACUGGGGACUGCACAGAAAAAAGACUUCCACAUUUAGAAAUAUUUUGAAACACUUCUUCCAAGAAACUCAGCUCAGAAAAAUCUAAAAAUGCCUGCAGUAUUGUUGAAAUAUUUGUACACACUCGAUGGAGCUGACAGUGGUCAGGGAAAUAACGAGAGGGCAGAAAGGACAAGAGUGGAGAGCCAGGCGAGUCCGCAUUUAUGCCAAAGACAUCUUUUCACGCCUGGCGGGCAGAGCUGGGGUGUUAACAGCUCAGGAGUGCAGAGCAGGGCCUGGCCCUGGGACCCUAAAAACCCCAAUGGAAGCCAAAACCUCAAAGGGAGUACAUACAUGAUCUAGAAUAUGCCUUAAACAUAAGAGAACCGAAUCUUUAAGGGUAAAAGAAUAGAAAUAGGACAGCAUGCAAAUGUGAACCAGAUAAAACAGUGGCAGCUCUACAUCAAAGACUGUUUCAGACCAAGUAGUAUUCCCAGGGAGAAGCGUUACUGGAGUGGAGAAUUCUACUAAGGGUAUUUGUAAAGGAGAAAUCCCCAGGCUAACGUGCUGAUGGGACAAUUCACAAAAAAGCACUAAGCAUACAGAUCCGAAAAAUACACUUAAACUUGACCCCCAAAUCCAUAUAUAUGGAUAUCUAUACUCAAAUGGGAGAUCGUACGUAUGUGUGCAUAGCUAUAUAUGAGGUGUGAUAAAAAUACAGCAAAUAUUUAAAUUUUAAAACUUGUUACAGCAAAAGACACAUCACCAUUAAUUCCCCUCAAAAUACUCCCCUUCCUCUGAGCUCAGCCUGUUUCUCUGGAAGAGCUCUUUCG
ensembl:lincRNA